rnacentral:RNase_P_RNA from 1 species
CCAGAGGGUCGGGCGACCGCGGCGUGGCGGGUAACUUCCACGGCGAGGAAAGUCCGGGCUCCACGAAAUAACGGUGCCGGCUAACGGCCGGCGGGCGCGAGCCCAGGGACAGUGCAACAGAGAGCAGGUCGCCACGGCUUCGGCCAGGCGAAGGUGAAAGGGUGCGGUAAGAGCGCACCGCGGACCCGGCAACGGGAACGGCACGGUAAACCCCACCGGGAGCAAGACCGAAUAGGGGCGGCGCGGGAUGCAGAUCCCUAGGCAUGUUUCGGCCGAGACCGCCCGGGUUGGUUGCUUGAGGCCGGGAGUAAUCCCGGCCCUAGAGGAAUGGUCGCCCAUCCGCGUCCGCGCGGUGGACAGAACCCGGCUUACAGACCCUCUGGCAUU